rnacentral:rRNA from 1 species
CUACGGGCCGCACCAGUGAGGAAUAUUGCACAAUGGGGGGAACCCUGAUGCAGCAACGCCGCGUGGAGGAUGACGCAUUUCGGUGUGUAAACUCCUUUUAUAUGUCAAGAAAAUGACGGUAGCAUAUGAAUAAGCACCGGCUAACUCCGUGCCAGCAGCCGCGGUAAUACGGAGGGUGCAAGCGUUACUCGGAAUCACUGGGCGUAAAGGACGCGUAGGCGGGCUUGUAAGUCAGGGGUGAAAUCCUACAGCUUAACUGUAGAACUGCACUUGAAACUACGAGCCUAGAGUAUGGGAGGGGGAGAUGGAAUUAGUGGUGUAGGGGUAAAAUCCGUAGAUAUCACUAGGAAUACCUAAAGCGAAGGCGAUCUCCUGGAACAUAACUGACGCUAAGGCGUGAAAGCGUGGGGAGCAAACAGGAUUAGAUACCCCCGUAGUC